CCCCUUCAUGAGGAAGAGAUUGUAUCCUACCUAUUGGCAAGACUUGGUUCCGAGUAUGACCCUAUAGUCACGAGUGUUACCACUCGCACUGAUUUAGUAACUAUGGGAGAUUUGUUUGCUCAUUUGUUGAGCUUUGAGC